rnacentral:rRNA from 1 species
CCAUAGGUUAAUGAGGCGAACCGGGGGAACUGAAACAUCUAAGUACCCCGAGGAAAAGAAAUCAACCGAGAUUCCCCCAGUAGCGGCGAGCGAACGGGGAGGAGCCCAGAGCCUGAAUCAGUGUGUGUGUUAGUGGAAGCGUCUGGAAAGGCGCGCGAUACAGGGUGACAGCCCCGUACACAAAAAUGCACAUAUUGUGAGCUCGAUGAGUAGGGCGGGACACGUGGUAUCCUGUCUGAAUAUGGGGGGACCAUCCUCCAAGGCUAAAUACUCCUGACUGACCGAUAGUGAACCAGUACCGUGAGGGAAAGGCGAAAAGAACCCCGGCGAGGGGAGUGAAAAAGAACCUGAAACCGUGUACGUACAAGCAGUGGGAGCCUCUUAAUGGGGUGACUGCGUACCUUUUGUAUAAUGGGUCAGCGACUUAUAUUCUGUAGCAAGGUUAACCGAAUAGGGGAGCCGAAGGGAAACCGAGUCUUAACUGGGCGUUAAGUUGCAGGGUAUAGACCCGAAACCCGGUGAUCUAGCCAUGGGCAGGUUGAAGGUUGGGUAACACUAACUGGAGGACCGAACCGACUAAUGUUGAAAAAUUAGCGGAUGACUUGUGGCUGGGGGUGAAAGGCCAAUCAAACCGGGAGAUAGCUGGUUCUCCCCGAAAGCUAUUUAGGUAGCGCCUCGUGAAUUCAUCUCCGGGGGUAGAGCACUGUUUCGGCAAGGGGGUCAUCCCGACUUACCAACCCGAUGCAAACUGCGAAUACCGGAGAAUGUUAUCACGGGAGACACACGGCGGGUGCUAACGUCCGUCGUGAAGAGGGAAACAACCCAGACCGCCAGCUAAGGUCCCAAAGUCAUGGUUAAGUGGGAAACGAUGUGGGAAGGCCCAGACAGCCAGGAUGUUGGCUUAGAAGCAGCCAUCAUUUAAAGAAAGCGUAAUAGCUCACUGGUCGAGUCGGCCUGCGCGGAAGAUGUAACGGGGCUAAACCAUGCACCGAAGCUGCGGCAGCGACACUAUGUGUUGUUGGGUAGGGGAGCG